CUACCCCGUAUUAAAAUUAAUAAACACUCCCUCACCUCCUCAACUUUAAUUAUACAAAUGCAUACUUCCCACAUUGUCUUCUAUCUUCUAACAUGUCCUAUCUUCAGCCCCCCAAAAUGCCAGUGACUAUAGCAGAGAUACAGAUUUUUCCAAAUCAGCUAUUUUUAGCCUAAAUUUUGCUAUCUGGAUUUCACUUCAUAACAACCCUGAACUUAGUAAAUAAACUCCAAUGUGUGUGUGUCUGUCUGCUCUCAUUCCAGCAUAUAUGUAACAGGAGAGGGACUGACUUUAGGAUGGUAGCCACAUGUUCUGUGUGAGAGUGUAACAAACAAAUCUAAG